AGAUUGAACGCUGGCGGCAGGCCUAACACAUGCAAGUCGAACGAGACCUUCGGGUCUAGUGGCGCACGGGUGCGUAACGCGUGGGAAUCUGCCCUUGGGUUCGGGAUAACAGUUGGAAACGACUGCUAAUACCGGAUGAUGACUUCGGUCCAAAGAUUUAUCGCCCAGGGAUGAGCCCGCGUAGGAUUAGCUAGUUGGUGAGGUAAAGGCUCACCGAAGCGUACGAUCCUUAGCUGGUCUAGAGAGGAUGACUCGAGCCACACUGGGACUGGAGACACGGCCCAGACUCCGUACGGGAGGCAGCGAGUGGGAAUAGU
rnacentral:rRNA from 1 species